GCAGUAUCAAUGGUGAUGAAGUAUGCUGACAAUAUUGUGAAGGUCUAUUCAACUUCAGUCGCAAUGCUACUGACUGCAGUUGUUUCUGUAUUUCUGUUUGGAUUUCACCUUUCCCUUGCCUUUUUCCUUGGUUCCACCGUUGUUUCUGUAGCGAUAUAUUUACACUCGACCAGCAAAGCCCGAAGAUAACAACCACCUUCACCUUCUGAGCUCUCUUGGUGAUACCCAAUAGGCAUCCUACUCCAAGCUCAUUUCGAUUUUCCGUCGUGCCUAAAAGUGUUAACAGAUAACUAUUUAUUCUACCCACAGCUUAAAACUUGGCCUUGGAGUGGAGUGGAGUUGGCAUUUGAAUUUCGGACUGAAGAAUACUUGUGAUGAUCUCCUCAUUUCUGUCAAUUCUGAAUUCAAAUAGCAGUGUUAAUCGCCCCAGCAAAGGUAUUAGGUAUGUGAAUUAGAUCAUAUAUU
rnacentral:misc_RNA from 1 species